rnacentral:rRNA from 1 species
AGAUUGAACGCUGGCGGAAUGCUUUACACAUGCAAGUCGAGCGGCAGCGCGGGGGCAACCCUGGCGGCGAGCGGCGAACGGGUGAGUAAUACAUCGGAACGUGUCCUUGAGUGGGGGAUAGCUCGGCGAAAGCCGGAUUAAUACCGCAUAAGCUCUGAGGAGGAAAGCGGGGGAUUCGCAAGGACCUCGCGCUGUUGGAGCGGCCGAUGUCGGAUUAGCUAGUUGGUGGGUAAAGGCCACCGAAGGCGACGAUCCGUAGCUGGUCUGAGAGGAUGAUCAGCCACACUGGAACUGAGACACGGUCCAGACUCCUACGGGAGGCAGCAGUGGGAACUUUUGGACAAGUCGGGGGCAACCCGUCGAUCCAGCCAGUUCCGCGUGAGUGAAGAAGGCCGUUGGUUGUAAAGUCUCGUUUCGGUACGAACGAAAGUAGGUUACG